rnacentral:rRNA from 1 species
AUGAACGCUGGCGGCGUGCCUAAUACAUGCCAGUCGAGCGAACGGACGAGAAGCUUGCUUCUCUGAUGUUCGCGGCGGACGGGUGAGUAACACGUGGAUACCCUACCUAUAAGACUGGGAUAACUUCGGGAAACCGGAGCUAAUACCGGAUAAUAUUUUUAACCGCAUGGUUCAAAAGUUAAAGACGGUCUUGCUUUCACUUAUAUCUGGAUCCCCGCUUCAUUAGCUAGUUGGUAAGGUAACGGCUUACCAAGGCAACGAUGCAUAGCCGAACUGAGAGGGUGAACGGCCACACUGGAACUGAGACACGGUCCAGACUCCUAGGGGAGGCAGCAGUAGGGAAUCUUCCGCAAUGGGCGAAAGCCUGACGGAGCAACGCAGCGUGAGUGAUGAAGGGCUUCGGAUCGUAAAACUCUGUUAUUAGGGAAGAACAUAUGUGUAAGUAACUGUGCACAUCUUGACGGUACCUAAUCAGAAAGCCACGGCUAACUACGUG